rnacentral:tRNA from 1 species
AUGAAUGGGCGGGCCUUGAUCCCACAAAAAUUAU